AUACGGAGGAUCCGAGCGUUAUCCGGAUUUAUUGGGUUUAAAGGGUGCGCAGGCGGCCAUUUAAGUCAGCGGUUAAAUCGUGGGGCUCAACCCCAUUCUGCCGUUGAUACUGGGUGGCUUGAUUGCGGUCGAGGUUGGCGGAAUUCGUUGUGUAGCGGUGAAAUGCAUAGAUAUGACGAAGAACACCGAGUGCGUAGGCAGCUGACCAGACCGCAAAUGACGCUCAUGCACGAAAGUGCGGGGAUCGAACAGGAUUAGAUACCCUGGUAGUCCGCACAGUAAACGAUGAAUACUUGUUUUCGGCGAUAUAAUGUCGGAGGCAAAGCGAAAGCGAUAAGUAUUCCACCUGGGGAGUACGCCGGCAACGGUGAAACUCAAAUGAAUUGACGGGG
rnacentral:rRNA from 1 species